GUACGUUUCCACUGUAAAGAGAGUCAGCCGGGGAGCGGGGCCGCCGCGCCCGCCCGGCCCCGACGCACAAAGGCUUCAUAUAUUCUGAAUGAAGGCGAAUCGCAGCCUCGGCCUCCGUGAAAAGAGCCGUGAGGGAGACUUAAUUCUCUCCCUUUCAGCUGUGCUCAGACUGUGAAAUCCACACAAUCGCGCCCUUCUCUUUAGAGGGAGGGAGGAGAGGGGCCGCGGUCGCGCGCCGCGCCGUUAGCCGGGCGCGCACAGGGAGAGUUCACUCCGGGGACAAGGGCGGCCGGCCCGGGGCUGGUUGGCAGCAGGGUUUCCCAUCCGACCGGGCGGCGGCAGCCCCUUUCUCCCGCUGCAUUUCACGGCGCCUUUUGUUGGCUCGCGCAGACCAGGGUCGGGCCUGUCAGCACUUACUCUGAGGAAAGCCAUGUCAGCAGCUGCCUUCUGGAGAAUCCACCUGGCGAGGAACUCCAGCCUCCUGCCAACAGCCACGUGGAAUGUAAAAAGGUGAGAUGCGUUGCUUGUAUUAACACAAUUGGAGACACUGGCACUGCCGUCAUGCCCAGGCUGUCCAGCAGACGUCACUUUAUUCCGUGGUGCAUUCCCAGAACAUUGCAUGGGUGAAUAACGACUUUUUGUAAAUUGAAUCAGGCUUAAAGUUCCCUAGUGUUGCUGGCUAAAGGAAGCCUCGAGUGAGCUCUUUUGUACCCGAAUAAAUUUGGUAAAAUAAAGAGACAGUUCCUA
rnacentral:lncRNA from 1 species